UGGGGAAUAUUGCACAAUGGGGGAAACCCUGAUGCAGCGACGCCGCGUGAGCGAAGAAGUAUUUCGGUAUGUAAAGCUCUAUCAGCAGGGAAGAAAAUGACGGUACCUGACUAAGAAGCCCCGGCUAACUACGUGCCAGCAGCCGCGGUAAUACGUAGGGGGCAAGCGUUAUCCGGAUUUACUGGGUGUAAAGGGAGCGUAGACGGAAUGGCAAGUCUGAUGUGAAAGGCCGGGGCUCAACCCCGGGACUGCAUUGGAAACUGUCAAUCUAGAGUACCGGAGGGGUAAGUGGAAUUCCUAGUGUAGCGGUGAAAUGCGUAGAUAUUAGGAGGAACACCAGUGGCGAAGGCGGCUUACUGGACGGUAACUGACGUUGAGGCUCGAAAGCGUGGGGAGCAAACAGG
rnacentral:rRNA from 2 species